rnacentral:lncRNA from 1 species
ACUUCACUUUGGAAGGAAGAAUGGAAAAUUUAAUAACAAAAUCUUAAUUCUAAUAGAAUACUAACAAUGCUCUAAUUAAACCAUAAUAAUGCUAAGUAAGCUUAAUCAAAUUCAAAAAAACCUCAAAGAAAUUUCAAACAAAUAAUAAGAAUUCUUAAAGAAACAUUAGAAAGAACACAAAUAUCACUCAAAUACAUCUCAAUUCAAUCUUAAUUUAAUUCUAAUUAAAAUCCCAUUAAACUUCAUUCAAACUUUAGGCCAAAACUAAUUGAAACUUAAAUCUUAAUAAAAUCCUAAAUCCUAAAUCAAACCCUAAACAAACUUUAAAUCAAACUCCAACCAAAUCCUAAACCAAAUCCUAAACCAAAUCCUAACCAAAUCCUAAACCAAAUCCUAAACCAAAUCCUAAACCAAAUCCUAACCAAAUCCUAAACCAAUCUUAAAUCCUAAAUCA